rnacentral:rRNA from 1 species
AGAGUUUGAUCCUGGCUCAGGAUGAACGCUAGCGGCAGGCUUAACACAUGCAAGUCGAGGGGCAGCGGGGAGGAAGCUUGCUUUCUCCGCCGGCGACCGGCGCACGGGUGAGUAACACGUAUGCAACCUGCCCCUGUCAGGGGGACAACCCGCCGAAAGGCGGGCUAAACCCGCGUACAUGCCACCGGGGCAUCCCGGAGGCAGGAAAGGCUUCGGCCGGACAGGGAUGGGCAUGCGGCGCAUUAGGCAGUAGGCGGGGUAACGGCCCACCUAACCGACGAUGCGUAGGGGUUCUGAGAGGAAGGUCCCCCACACUGGUACUGAGACACGGACCAGACUCCUACGGGAGGCAGCAGUGAGGAAUAUUGGUCAAUGGUCGGGAGACUGAACCAGCCAAGCCGCGUGAGGGAUGAAGGUACAGAGUAUCGUAAACCUCUUUUGUCAGGGAACAAAGACUGGGACGCGUCCCCGGAUGAGUGUACCUGAAGAAAAAGCAUCGGCUAACUCCGUGCCAGCAGCCGCGGUAAUACGGAGGAUGCGAGCGUUAUCCGGAUUUAUUGGGUUUAAAGGGUGCGCAGGCGGUCUGUUAAGUCAGCGGUCAAAGCCCGGGGCUCAACCCCGGCCCGCCGUUGAAACUGGCAGUCUCGAGUUGGAGAGAAGUAUGCGGAAUGCGCGGUGUAGCGGUGAAAUGCAUAGAUAUCGCGCAGAACUCCGAUUGCGAAGGCAGCAUGCCGGCUCCACACUGACGCUGAGGCACGAAAGCGUGGGUAUCGAACAGGAUUAGAUACCCUGGUAGUCCACGCAGUAAACGAUGAAUGCUGGCUGUCCGGGGGGACUGACCCCUGGGUGGCGAAGCGAAAGCGAUAAGCAUUCCACCUGGGGAGUACGCCGGCAACGGUGAAACUCAAAGGAAUUGACGGGGGCCCGCACAAGCGGAGGAACAUGUGGUUUAAUUCGAUGAUACGCGAGGAACCUUACCCGGGCUCAAACGGGGAGUGGCGCAGGCAGAGACGCCUGUUUCCCACGGGACACUCCCCGAGGUGCUGCAUGGUUGUCGUCAGCUCGUGCCGUGAGGUGUCGGCUUAAGUGCCAUAACGAGCGCAACCCCCGCGUGCAGUUGCUAACAGUCAACGCUGAGGACUCUGCACGGACUGCCGGCGCAAGCCGCGAGGAAGGCGGGGAUGACGUCAAAUCAGCACGGCCCUUACGUCCGGGGCGACACACGUGUUACAAUGGGUGGUACAGCGGGAAGCCAGGCGGCGACGCCGAGCGGAACCCGAAAUCCACUCUCAGUUCGGAUCGGAGUCUGCAACCCGACUCCGUGAAGCUGGAUUCGCUAGUAAUCGCGCAUCAGCCAUGGCGCGGUGAAUACGUUCCCGGGCCUUGUACACACCGCCCGUCAAGCCAUGGGAGCCGAGGGCGCUUGAAGUGCGUCGCCGCGAGGCGCGCCCUAGAGCGAAAUCGGUGACUGGGGCUAAGUCGUAACAAGGUAACC